UCGCUAUCUUAACGGAAUUCCUGUGCAGUACGAGAGGAACCACAGGUACGGACCACUGGCUCAAUACUAGUCCGACCGGACUUUGGUAUGACGCUACGUCCGCUGGAUUAUGCCUGACGCCUCUAAGGUCGUAGCCAAUCCGAGCUGAUAGCGCUUCUCAAACCCAUUAGGUGUUCGGAAGCUAGCGGGCCUAACAACCCUCUGAGAUCCGUUGGAGUCUGCGUCUGAGCCCGGCGUCUCAUCCCGCUAUACCUAGGCCGCAACGAGUGGAGUUCGCUGCACGUGUUAGUACCGUAACUGGGAACGCCGUUGGCUUGAGCUCUGCCCAACGUGGAUAUACCUAGUUUCGACACCUAUCAACCGCCCGCAAACGACGGGACUUCAGGCUGGGAGCUGCGAGUUGUAGAGAUGCGUUCGCAUCGAUCCUCUCAGGCGACCCAUGCUUGGUGGUUUG
rnacentral:rRNA from 1 species